CAGACAGUUAACACAGGUCAGGGCACCUUGCGCGCACGACUGCUGUAUGUACGCGUAAUGGCGCGUUUGUGUCCUCUCACUUUAUCUUCAAGCGUCUCCCAGAAACGCAGUUAAAGGAUUUGUUUAGACUGCGCGUCAGAGGGUCGCACAACAACAUCAGAACACCUGAGAUCUGAUGCUACCUGCCAUCACCAUGGAAACAGAGGCCAGUCACAUGCUCGAGGCGGCACUGGAGCAGAUGGACGACAUCAUUGCAGGUUCAAAAGCAGCAGCGAUGGAGUUCUCUAACAGCAUGUAUGACCUGGGUUCUCCCGUCAGUGCUGGACCGCUGCAGGUCCUUCAGUUAGCUGAGGACCUCAAACUUUCCUUGGAGCUUCAACCCAGCCAGGAGGAGCGAAACAGCCUCCGAGCACAGCUGCCUGCAGAGACCGCACAGGCUCUUGUAGACUGGCUGCAGAGUGGAGCUGUGAACCUCUGUUCUCCAGCCAACAAUGAAACUUACCAAGAACGACUGCUUCGCCUAGAGGGAGACAAGGAGUCUCUGGUGCUACAGGUGAGCGUUCUGACCGACCAGGUGGAGGCCCAGGGAGAGAAGAUCAGAGACCUCGAAAGUUCUUUGGAGGAGCACCGCCAGAAACUGGCCUCCACUGAAGAAAUGCUCCAACAGGAGCUGAUGAGCAGGACCUCGCUAGAAACUCAGAAGCUGGAUCUGAUGGAUGAGGUGUCCUUUCUCAAACUGAAACUGGUCAGCAUGGAGGAGACUCAAACCAACUCACACCCGCAGGAUUCGUCAGACGCAAAGCAGAACAAAGCUGAGUGUGUGGUAAAUCUCAUCAGUGAGCUCCAGGAGCAGAUGUGCAGGUUUCAGGAGGAGAUCAGCACUCGCAUUCAGGAGAAACGGGCCCUGGAGGAGAAGGAGGCCCAGCAGGGGGAGCCAAGAGACGGCCAAGCCCAGGGCUACAGCCCUCAAGUUGGGUUGGUCGGCUUGGACCUGAGCCUGUCUGGCUCUGAUGCCCGGCAGCACAAUGGAGGAAAGACUGUUCACGAUUUGCAACAAGAAGUUAAGCAGCUGAAGAGCAAAGUGGAUGAGUUGGAGGGAGAGAAGAGCCAGUAUGAGAGGAAAUUAAGAGCCACCAAGGCAGAAAUCUCAGAGCUGCAGCAGCUCCUGGCCUCCAAAGAUGCUGAGAUCGAGUGCCUACAGACCCAGCUGCUGGCCAGAGGCGGCAGCGCCAAUGACAACGCAGAGAGAGACCAGGAAUACCAGAGGUUAAAGGUGGGGAUGGAGUCUUUGUUGGCUUCAAAUGACGAAAAGGAUCGACGUAUAGAGGAGCUUACCAUUCUGCUCAGCCAGUACAGAAAGAUGAGGGAGGUCAUGGCACUCACGCAGGGAAGCAGUGAAGAGGAGCUGAGUGGCAGUUUAAAGCUCAAAGCCAUCACUCACAAAGCACACUCUGACAUCCUCAGAUCAGAGCUGUCAUCAAGAGGAUCGUCACCACUUAUGCUGUCCUCAUCCCCGUAUCAGAGGGAUUUGGAUUCCAGUUUCCAGAACUCUGUGGAGACAUCGCUGGUGUCCGCUGCUGACCCAAGUUUGUUUAAUGGAUCUUGGCAUCGGCGCCGGUUGAUGUCCAGCAGUCUUGAAGAGUUGCAGAGUGGAUCUUUACAAAAGGCUGUAGAGAUCCAGCCACUUGAAAGUGAAUCAGAUGUAGGGGCUGAGAAUCCCCACAUGGAGCUGAACAAGUACCAAACUCUGCCGGGGAAACUGAGUAAAAAGAACGAGCCGCGGGCCGAGCUGAACGGCGACAGAGACGGAGAGUAUUUAUCUCCCGCCCAGCUCUCGCCUGUCCACAGCCACAGCCAGGACUACAGUCUGAUUCGCUGCAGGAGUGCCAGUGCUCCGGUUUUAGGAUCUCCUGGAAAACAUGACCUCUAUGAUGCUGAGCAUUCAGAGAAGGUGGAGGAGUGCUUUCCAUCAGACCAGUCCCCGCUGUCCUCUGGAGUGGACUCUGGACAGCAGUCUCCUGUCUCACCAGAGAACAGGAAGGGUCACAGAGGAAUUAGGAAACUCUGGGGGAAGAUCCGUCGCAGUCAGUCGGGUAGUCCUGUCCAAGUUCAUGACCCAGAGCUAGGAGACUUCAAGAGGGGAGGAUUCAGAGCUACAGCUGGACCUCGAUUGGCCCGUUCAGGGAAAACACGAGAUCUGAAGACGCCAUUUUCUAAGUGGAACACAGAGCAGGUGUGUGACUGGAUUGAAGACAUUGGACUAGGUCAGUACAGCAUCCUCGCUCGCCAGUGGGUCACCAGCGGUCAGACUCUGCUAUCAGCCAUGCCACAAGACCUAGAGAAGGAGAUGGCCAUGAAGAAUCCACUCCACAGGAAGAAGCUUCAGUUGUCCAUCAAAGCGAUCAGUAGCAAACAGCCUGAAAAAUCUGCAGAGCUCGAUUACCUCUGGGUUACCCGUUGGCUUGAUGAUAUUGGCCUUCCUCAGUACAAAGACCAAUUUAAUGAAGGAAGAGUGGAUGGGCAGAUGCUGCAGUAUCUCACUGUGAACGACUUAUUAUUCCUUAAAGUGACCAGCCAGCUGCACCACCUCAGCAUCAAAUGUGCCAUUCAUGUUCUCCAUGUCAACAAAUUCAAUCCCAACUGCCUCAAACGCAGGCCCGGCAAUGAGAGCCAGUUCACUCCCAGUGAGGUUGUCCAGUGGUCUAACCACCGAGUCAUGGAGUGGUUGAGAUCUGUGGACCUUGCAGAGUAUGCCCCAAACCUGAGGGGCAGCGGCGUGCAUGGAGGGCUGAUAAUGCUGGAGCCUCGGUUUAACUCUGAUAGCCUGGCCAUGCUGCUGAACAUCCCUCCUCAGAAAACUCUGCUGAGGCGCCACUUAACCACCAACUUCAACAACCUAGUAGGAGCACAGGCUCAGCAGGAGAAGAGGGAGUACACUGAGGCAACAGGAUACUCCCCACUCAGCAUCACCGCUAAAGUCAAGCCGAAGAAGUUGGGCUUCUCUAACUUGACUCACCUCAGGAGGAGACGGCCGGAUGAAUCUACAGACUAUGUCUGCCCCAUCGAGUCCUCCUCGCCUCAGUCGGGACAGUCUGCAGUGAACGGGGUGCAGAUGCGGCCCUACACUGGCUUCAGAGGCCUGAGCCCCAUCCUAGACCGAGAGCCCGACCGCUCCAGGGACCAGAUGGCGACCACAGAGGGUACCAUUUUGCAAAUAGAAGCUCUUUCUGAAAGCAUCAACAACCUCACAUAUCUGCUCAGCCGAGAUGAGCUGCGGAAGGAGAUGAGGCGUUCACAGACGGCGCUAGUUUGAAGGACGAUGACCCUAAGCUGUAGGCUGUCAAUCAACCACAAAGACCUGUAGUGACCUGUCUCACAGCUGAAUUGUACCUCAGCCCUCAAGCUAACACUGCAGCGUGGAGCUCCUUACAUUUACUUCUACUAGCCCCUGAUACCUCAAGUUAACUCCUGCACACGCGCUGUAAGUACAGAGGACUGGGAAACACAAACGGACCUACACAUUUUGACAACAAUCAAAGGUCUUAUUUUUAUUUUCUAGUGUGCUGAAUUGAACAGUUAUUUAUACACUUUUUUGUUACUGAUUUCCUUAAUUCCCUAUGCAAUGUAGCUUUUAAUGAGCAUACUGACCACUGGGUACUGUAAAUACUGUGCUGGUAUUUCAUUGCAGUUUAGAAUGGACAAACUGGACAUUCCAUCAAAAAUGGUGUUGAAGCCAUUUUUAAGAGCAGAGCAGCUAAAGAAGAAGGAGCUGAAACGUUCCUCAACAUUGUCAUUCUAUUGUUCUGCAGAGAAAGAUGCUGCAUAUCAUAUGUUGAAAUAAAGAAGUUACAAGAACUACCAAUGUUUCCUAAAUGACUGUAUGGAACAAAAAAUUGUUGAAACCCCUCUUUUGCCUCAAAGUAGUACUGGCCAUGAUAGAGCACUACCCCUCCCUGAAACAUAAUGUUUUAAAUUUACUACAAUAUAAAUUGGAUGGCCAAAAUAUGAAAUUAUUGUUGUUUGACUCCAUUAAUCCUGAACAUUUGGAUACUAGACUACAUCCAGCUUUGCAGUUUGGCUAAAGAGGACACCCAUCAUAAAUUUCAUUUAAUUCCCUAACUCAAGGGAAUAAGUUAAGGGGUAGAGAUCAAAGUUUGUGCACAGGAAAGAGAAGUCUGGUUGCUUGUAAAAUAAUUUAAUCCCACGGUGUUUUCAGCAUACUCAAGUGGCCAAAACCUGGACUUUGCUCUGAAACAUCAUAUAAAUUUAUGUUUCUGUGGCUUUAAUUUCUAUGGCUAUUUUAACAUGAAUACAAAACUAACACCAGGAUUUACUAUGGUUCAUUUAACCCUCUCCAGCUGUGAACACUUUACUAAAUUGACUUUUACUUUUACAAGUAACUUUUUAAAACACAUCCAAAUAUAUGGUAGAAGUCUGGAACAGUAGGACAGUAGUUUGUAAUAUUCGGUUGACAAAAAUCAAAGAAAAAUGAUAAGACUGGGUCCUCUGAACAGUUUUGUAGUACUACAGUGAACUGUAGUACUAUAUUAACCUCUACUGGUCAAUUCUGGUAUUUAGCCACAGCCACCUUAAUGGCUGUGAAACUUUUGUCAUUUCCUAAACUGACCUUGAGAGCCCCCACACUACAAGUUGCUGUCCGAGCCUACCUGUCCUCAUUGCUGCUUCUUUCUAAAAGCAGACAGUUACACAUUUUGUUUACCCACCAACCCCUUCAGGCUCACCCCAGUCCUCAAGCUGCUGCACCAAGCUAACUGGUAAGAUGAGUCUUUUGUUGACUUACCUAAAAUUUGACAAGAUGCAAACACCACACCCUUGCUGCCACUGUCAGCGAAAACUCUGCUUCAGCAGAAAAUUCUCAUUAUUCUGCUGGAAGUUCUCUACACAUCAGGACACAAACAACCAUACAACACUCACACAGACACUGUGUAUCUCAGCAGGACAAGGCAGAAGAAGAAAGGAAAUGUAGUGUAUUUGGAACUGUGGAAGCUCCCAGACCAGUCCUGUGUAUCAGGGAGACCAGCUUGUGAUCUGCUGUCCAUCAUCCGUCGAUCAUG